rnacentral:rRNA from 1 species
AAGGUUUCCGUAGGUGAACCUGCGGAAGGAUCAUUGUCGAUGCCUUACAUGGAGUCCAACACGUGAAUCAGUUCGAACACAUACGGUGGACUUGAGGUGUUCCACACCUCGGCCCACCUCUGGUUCGGAGGCGGGCGACGAAGUGCGUUCUCCUCCGAGCCAAAACUCAAACCCCGGCGCCGAAUGCGUCAAGGAAUUAAAAUUUUGCUCUGAGCGCACCUUCAUGGCACCGGAGACGGUUUUCGUGCGGGUUGUGUUUUGACACUUGAUAUAGAAUGACUCUCGGCAACGGAUAUCUAGGCUCUUGCAUCGAUGAAGAACGUAGCGAAAUGCGAUACUUGGUGUGAAUUGCAGAAUCCCGUGAACCAUCGAGUCUUUGAACGCAAGUUGCGCCCGAUGCCAUUAGGUUGAGGGCACGUCUGCCUGGGUGUCACAUAUCGAAGCCUCCUGCCAAUUUCCCUAUGACUAUUGUGCAGGGUGGAUGUUGGCCUCCCGUGAGCUCUUUCGUCUCAUGGUUGGUUGAAAAUUGAGACCUUGGUAGGGUGUGCCAUGAUAGAUGGUGGUUGUGUGACCCACGAGACCAAUCAUGCGCUUCUCUAUUGAAUUUGGCCUCCUUUACCCAUAUGCGUUUCUAAACGCUCGUGAUGAGACCUCAGGUCAGGCGGGGCUACCCGCUGAAUUUAAGCAUAUCAAUAAGCGGAGGAAAAGAAACUAACAAGGAUUCC